rnacentral:lncRNA from 1 species
AUUGUUGCCAUGGUGUUCUGUUUUUGUACAAGCUGCAGACUGGAGAGAUCACCGUAUAUUUUUAGCAUUUGUGCUACACUCAGUAAUUGUUGUUUCUUAGGAACACUCUUUCCAAGUAGUUUUGGUGGGACUUCUUUUUGGAUUAGGAAAUUCGUAUCUAUUGUUUCCAUGCUAAUGUAGAUAGGUGUUUGUGUAGAAUUUAUGUGCUCUUUGACAUGGAAACGUCAACUACUAGCCUGCUAUGGUGGCUAAGAUUUUCCAAGUUAGAAAUGUAGGGAGAAUAUUUGGUGGCUCAUCUAUAAUUAUUCUGAUUAUAGUACUCCUCAUGUCGAAGAAGGAAUGGUGUGCUUAUAUGAUGUUUCUCUACCACAUACUAUUUUUACCUUGUUGCCUGCAGGCUACCGUGCAUGGCAUGAAGAUGAACACUAAGACUGUUGGAUCAAAGGUUCCGAGUCCAUGAAAGAAAGUAGCUGUUGUUGAAUGGAACAUCUGAUUUUCACAGGAGAAGUUCUGGCCUGUAAAUAUCAGAUGUACAUUGUGAAGCUGCU